rnacentral:rRNA from 1 species
UACGGGGGGGGCAAGCGUUGUUCGGAAUUACUGGGCGUAAAGGGUUCGUAGGUGGCCAACUAAGUCAUACGUGAAAUCCCUCAGCUUAACUGGGGAACUGCGUCUGAUACUGGUUGGCUUGAGUGCAGGAGAGGAACGCGGAAUUCCAGGUGUAGCGGUGAAAUGCGUAGAUAUCUGGAGGAACACCGGUGGCGAAGGCGGCGUUCUGGACUGCAACUGACACUGAGGAACGAAAGCUAGGGGAGCAAACAGG